rnacentral:rRNA from 1 species
CAGUCGAACGAGAGAAGAGAAGCUUGCUUUUCUGAUCUAGUGGCGGACGGGUGAGUAACACGUGAGCAAUCUGCCUUUCAGAGGGGGAUACCGAUUGGAAACGAUCGUUAAUACCGCAUAACAUAAUUGAACCGCAUGAUUUGAUUAUCAAAGAUUUAUCGCUGAAAGAUGAGCUCGCGUCUGAUUAGCUAGUUGGUAAGGUAACGGCUUACCAAGGCGACGAUCAGUAGCCGGACUGAGAGGUUGAUCGGCCACAUUGGGACUGAGACACGGCCCAGACUCCUACGGGAGGCAGCAGUGGGGAAUAUUGCACAAUGGAGGAAACUCUGAUGCAGCGAUGCCGCGUGAGGGAAGAAGGUUUUAGGAUUGCAAACCUCUGUCUUCGGGGACGAAAAAAGACGGUACCUGAGGAGGAAGCUCCGGCUAACUACGUGCCAGCAGCCGCGGUAAUACGUAGGGAGCGAGCGUUGUCCGGAAUUACUGGGUGUAAAGGGAGCGUAGGCGGGAUCGCAAGUCAGAUGUGAAAACUAUGGGCUUAACCCAUAAACUGCAUUUGAAACUGUGGUUCUUGAGUGAAGUAGAGGUAAGCGGAAUUCCUAGUGUAGCGGUGAAAUGCGUAGAUAUUAGGAGGAACAUCAGUGGCGAAGGCGGCUUACUGGGCUUUAACUGACGCUGAGGCUCGAAAGCGUGGGGAGCAAACAGGAUUAGAUACCCUGGUAGUCCACGCCGUANACGAUGAUUACUAGGUGUG